UUUAUCUUUAUGGUAAAUGUGAGAUGCAGUGUAUGGAAUGUCAAAUUUCUAGUAUGAGAAAUUAACGAUUUAAGUCCUUCUUAAAUGAGGCCAUUUACCCACAGAGGGUGCCAGGCCCGUAUAACGUUAAUGAUUACUAGAUGAUAUUUCCAAAGAGUCGUGUUGCUUGAUAGUGCAGCACUAAGUGGGUGGUAAACUCCAUCUAAAACUAAAUAUAACCAUGAGACCGAUAGUAAACAAGUACCGUGAGGGAAAGUUGAAAAGAACUCUGAAUAGAGAGUUAAAUAGUACGUGAAACUGCUUAGAGGUUAAGCCCGAUGAACCUGAAUAUCCGAUAUAGAAAAUUCAUCAUUACGAUUAAAGUAUUAUAAUAAUAGUGUGCAUUUUUUCUAUAAAAGGACAUUGUAAUUUAUUAACAUAAUAUUUAUCAUAAGAGCUAAAGUUUAUUCCAAUUAUAUUUUUUAAAAUGUAACAUGGAGUAAAUGCUUACGAUUUGAUAAAGUGUUGAUAAAUUUAAUAUAGUGCUUCAAUAAUAUUAUAUAGUAUCAUAUUAAUUAUUAAUUUUUAUGUUUUUAUAUGCACUUGUAUGAUUAACAAUGCGAAAGAUUCAGGAUACCUUCGGGACCCGUCUUGAAACACGGACCAAGGAGUCUAACAUAUUUGCAAGUUAUUGGGUAAAACCUAAUAGCGAAACUAACAUAACAUAAUGGGAUUAGUUUUUAACCUAUUAAUACAAUCCCGGGGCAUUCUAUAUAGUUAUGUAUAAUAGUAUUUAUAUUAUUUAUACCUCUAACUGGAAUGUACCUUGAGCAUAUAUGCUGUGACCCGAAAGAUGGUGAACUAUACUUGAUCAGGUUGAAGUCA
rnacentral:rRNA from 1 species